rnacentral:lncRNA from 10 species
UGGGGACCAAGGGUCCCUGCUGGACAGAAGUGUGGGAGACACGGAUCCUGGCCACACCUCAGCCCUCCCUCCAGCCUGAUUACCUGCCUCCCUCCCUUGCAGAGGUUUGGGUUCUGUGGUGAUCUGGACUGUCCCAAGUGGGUCCUGGCAGAGAUCGGCACGCUGGCCAAGAUGAUUGAGUGCACAGGGUCUAGUCUGGGUGGAGGAGGGGUGCUGGGGCUGGGGAUUGUGGGUGUAGAGGAUGGUGAGGUUUUCUGGGGUUGGGACCUCAGUGGUCUCAGCCUGUGCUACCAUGCUUUGUGACCUUGAUCAGCAGCUGGCCUGCUCUGAGCCAGUCCCCAGGAAGGAGGGGUGAGGUUCGCCAGCCUGGCUGAUGUAAGGACUUCCCUUCCAGUCCUCUGUGAAGUUGCAGCUGCUCUGCAGCCAGGUACUAAAGAGCUGCUGGGACAGGGGAAUGAUGUGAGUACAAGACCCAGCACCCCAUUGUCCCAUGACCUUAUGACCCCCAGUGCCCUGAAGCUCUGCACUAGGCCCGGGGAGAUGGGUGACCCAGCAUCGAAAUCUCUCUGGGCACCUCCCAUACUUUUUUCCAGCCUGUCUGUUCUUAUUGCAGGAUCCAGGCUGAGGGUGAGGGGCUGGUCAAUAGGGUACUGGCGCCCCCUGAAGGUCUUCUUUCCCCAUCGUAUGAGAAGAUCCUGAAGCUCAUGGCUGAUGCCAAGUUUGAGCAAGUGGCCGGCGUGUGCCGCUGUUAUGAGGAGAAGCAAAGCCCCUUGCAGAAGCACUUGUGGAUCUGCAGCCUACGCAGCAAGUAUGAGGCCAGCCAGGGUCCAGGCUCCUUCUAGAAGGUGCACGCAGCACACAAGUGCAUGGAGAGUCCAGGGAGACAACUUAACCGUGGUCACAUCCCAAGCAGCUGCAGAGCUGGGACCUGGCCCUGGCUCUCCUGACUCCGCGGGCUGUGGAUUUGUACCUACAGGAUCAGACCUUGCCCUUUCCUCCUGGCUGACCCUUCCCUAGUCCCCUGUGCCUCAUGUGUGAGCACCCAGCUCACACUUAUUCCUCCCUCUCCGAAGCGUGGUCCCUGGGAGCAUGAGUGGCAGAAGGGGCAGCAGAGACUGUGGACCCCUCAGCUGCACCUAAGACCUCUGUGUGGUCUAGCUAUGUGUGCUGGGGGAGGCUUUUGGCCACCAUUUCCGCCUCUGUAAAUGAGACCGAUACCUGUGGCAUGGAGGGCGGGAGGCCAGUAUGAGUGCCAAGCACUUGGAGCAGGGCCCUGAGUGAGCAUGGACUUGGAAAUGGGUGUUCCUUGACUUUAUGCACCUUGGGAAUGGGAGUGGGGCUCCCUGCAUGGGUUGACAAUUCAUUGCAUUCCCCCACUCCGCCUCUUUCCCAGCCCUGCAAGUCCAGUCAUUGGGGGUCCAGGAGGGAAGAAGCCCCUGGCUGUGUGACUUCGGCCUGGUGCCUGGCUCUCUCUGGCUCUGAGUUCCUGGGAACGUCAGCACCCAAGGCAUGCCCUCAAGUUUAGCACCUUGACAAGAAAGGCGGGGACACUGGGAUCAGGCCCACACCCCUGGCCUUAAACCCCGUGGCCCCAGCUGGAGGAUGAGGAGGUGCUGGGCUUGGAUGGGGGAAUCAGGGGGGUAAAGGGACCUGCUCGCCCCUCAGCUUGGCUCAAAGGCUCAAAGUGUCAAAGGUUAAGCCUGCCCCUCAGGAAGCAGCCCGGGCCCAGCCAGACACUCACCAGGACAAGGGAAACUCUGACGAGCAGGAGGCUCAGGAUGAGGAGAGCCACGGCAUAGCUGGAGAUGAAGAUGCCCAGCGGGUUGGAGGCUUUGGGCCAGGAGUGCCUAGAGCAGAGCUAGAAGGCUAUGACAGGUGGGGCCUGUCUCCCAGACUCUGAGAAGGCAGAAUCUGGGCCCAGAAGGUGUUGUGGGACCAGAGAUCUGGGGCUAGGAGCAUCUUGGAGGGCUCCAUGAGGAGGGGAGGCAGGCUUCAGAUCAGGGCAUGUGGAGUAGGCAGAUGGACAGAGGGAGAGGGCCUGCAGAGGGAAGGAGGUACUGACUGAGGUCUGGGAUGACGGGUGUGCAGACGCUGGCGCAAACAGUCCCAGGAAGCUUUUACUCCUGGUGAGAGGCAAAGAGGGAGCAGGCCUGUUGCAUGGUGAAAGAGGAAGAAAGAGAGAGGAGGCAUCAGGCUCUUUUAAACAACCAGCUCUCCAGUGAACUGAUAAAAAACUCACUCAUUGAAUCACUUGAACCUGGGAGAUGGAGGGUGCAGUGAGCUGAGAUUGCACCACUGCACUCCAGCCUGGGCUGUGAGCGAACUCUGUCUCAGAAAAAAAAAAAGAAAAAAGAAAAGAAGAAAACUCACUCAUUACCAUGGGGAGGGCACUAAGCCAUUCAAGAAGGGUCCCCCACCAUGACCCAAACACCUUACACUGUAGGCCCCACCUCCAGCUUUGGGGAUCACAUUUCAACACGAGAUGUGGAUGGGACAAGUAUCCAAACUACGUCAGAGGCCCCACCCCUCCCUCUCAUCAGAGUCUUCUGUCCUCAGUUCAGGUGUAUGCUGGCCUCCAUGCCUGGCUUCCUAGGAAGUCAUCUUGGCCCCAAGGGGUUGGGCAUGGCCACUAGGCUGAAGGCUGGAGCCCUACCUCUCCUAGUCCCAGCCUGUGUCUCCAUCACUGGCUAGCC